AUUAAUAGUGUACUAUCAAUAGUUUUAUGCUGAAACAAAUAGCAAAUUGUUAAUAAAUUAGAAUUGCAAAAUAAAGGUUCUACAACAAAUAAUAGAGAAAACCCAGAUUGUAGCAUAAUGAAUGCAUACGCAGCUGAAGAAAAUUGAUAUAUAAUUCCCAUGGAUGAAGUUCAACUACAAACAAUAAGUAAAAUUAUAUAAAGAUCUAAUGCAUAAACUAGUGUAGCCAUAACCGAAAAUUCAUAAGGAUAAUAUUUAAUUAGGAACUCCCACAACCAUUAUUAAAGAGCUAUGAAUUCACUCUCUUCAAUUUCAAAUUCACAAGUUAAAGAAGCUUCAUUACAUUACCAGCAAGAAAGAUUAUUAGUAAAUAAGCAAGAUAAUGACCAAAAUCAUGUGGGUAAUUUGUUUUUUAAAACCCUAAUGCAUAUAACCCUAACAAUUAUGCACCAUAAAUUCUCUUUAUAAAGUAAAAAAUAAGUGUAAAUGUGGUUAAUGACCUUUAGUUCGGUGAAUUUCCAGCCUUUAAUUCGGUGAUUUUGUAGCCUUUAAUGUGGUGGAUGAACUUGCAGCAGCAGGAGCAUGAACUUGCAGCAACAGGCGUUGUGUAUGGUAGCUCGUGAAGGUAGAUUUUGAAAUUUGAAGAAUUAAAUUGGGGUAAUUCUGUAA
rnacentral:lncRNA from 1 species